GGUCAAGUGAAGAAGCGCAUACGGUGGAUGCCUUGGCAGUCAGAGGCGAUGAAAGACGUGGUAGCCUGCGAAAAGCUUCGGGGAGUCGGCAAACAGACUGUGAUCCGGAGAUGUCUGAAUGGGGGAACCCAGCUGUCAUAAGACAGUUACCUUACACUGAAUACAUAGGUGUAUGGAGCGAACCAGGGGAACUGAAACAUCUAAGUACCCUGAGGAAAAGAAAUCAACCGAGAUUCCCUUAGUAGUGGCGAGCGAACGGGGACCAGCCCUUAAGUUGGAUUGAGAGUAGCGGAACGCUCUGGAAAGUGCGGCCAUAGUGGGUGAUAGCCCUGUACGCGAAAGUCUCUUUGCAAUGAAAUCGAGUAGGACGGGGCACGAGAAACCUUGUCUGAAUAUGGGGGGACCAUCCUCCAAGGCUAAAUACUACUGACUGACCGAUAGUGAACCAGUACCGUGAGGGAAAGGCGAAAAGAACCGCGGAGAGCGGAGUGAAAUAGAUCCUGAAACCGUAUGCGUACAAGCAGUGGGAGCCCACUUUGUUGGGUGACUGCGUACCUUUUGUAUAAUGGGUCAGCGACUUAUUUUCAGUGGCAAGCUUAACCGAAUAGGGGAGGCGUAGCGAAAGCGAGUCUUAAUAGGGCGUCUAGUCGCUGGGAAUAGACCCGAAACCGGGCGAUCUAUCCAUGGGCAGGUUGAAGGUUAGGUAACACUGACUGGAGGACCGAACCGACUACCGUUGAAAAGUUAGCGGAUGACCUGUGGAUCGGAGUGAAAGGCUAAUCAAGCUCGGAGAUAGCUGGUUCUCCUCGAAAGCUAUUUAGGUAGCGCCUCAUGUAUCACUGUAGGGGGUAGAGCACUGUUUCGGCUAGGGGGUCAUCCCGACUUACCAAACCGAUGCAAACUCCGAAUACCUACAAGUGCCGAGCAUGGGAGACACACGGCGGGUGCUAACGUCCGUCGUGAAAAGGGAAACAACCCAGACCGUCAGCUAAGGUCCCAAAGUCAUGGUUAAGUGGGAAACGAUGUGGGAAGGCUUAGACAGCUAGGAGGUUGGCUUAGAAGCAGCCACCCUUUAAAGAAAGCGUAAUAGCUCACUAGUCGAGUCGGCCUGCGCGGAAGAUGUAACGGGGCUCAAACCAUGCACCGAAGCUACGGGUAUCACCUUUGGUGAUGCGGUAGAGGAGCGUUCUGUAAGCCUGUGAAGGUGAGUUGAGAAGCUUGCUGGAGGUAUCAGAAGUGCGAAUGCUGACAUGAGUAACGACAAUGGGUGUGAAAAACACCCACGCCGAAAGACCAAGGUUUCCUGCGCAACGUUAAUCGACGCAGGGUUAGUCGGUCCCUAAGGCGAGGCUGAAAAGCGUAGUCGAUGGAAAACAGGUUAAUAUUCCUGUACUUCUGGUUAUUGCGAUGGAGGGACGGAGAAGGCUAGGCCAGCCUGGCGUUGGUUGUCCAGGUUUAAGGUGGUAGGCUGAGAUCUUAGGUAAAUCCGGG
rnacentral:rRNA from 1 species